AGAGUUUGAUCAUGGCUCAGGAUGAACGCUAGCGGCAGGCUUAACACAUGCAAGUCGAAGGGCAUCAGGGGAGGUGCUUGCACCUCCUGCUGGCGACUGGCGCACGGGUGAGUAACACGUAUGCAACCUGCCCUCCACAGGGGGACAACCUUCCGAAAGGGAGGCUAAUCCCGCGUAAAUCCCUUGGGGGCAUCUCUGGGGGAGGAAAGGCUAACGCCGGUGGAGGAUGGGCAUGCGGCGCAUUAGGCAGUCGGCGGGGUAACGGCCCACCGAACCGACGAUGCGUAGGGGUUCUGAGAGGAAGGUCCCCCACACUGGUACUGAGACACGGACCAGACUCCUACGGGAGGCAGCAGUGAGGAAUAUUGGUCAAUGGGCGGGAGCCUGAACCAGCCAAGCCGCGUGGGCGAAGAAGGCCCUAUGGGUCGUAAAGUCCUUUUGUCAGGCGCACAAAAGCAGGUAUGUAUACCAGCCUGAGUGUACCUGAAGAAAAAGCAUCGGCUAACUCCGUGCCAGCAGCCGCGGUAAUACGGAGGAUGCGAGCGUUAUCCGGAUUUAUUGGGUUUAAAGGGUGCGUAGGCGGCAUGUCAAGUCAGCGGUAAAAGCCCGGGGCUCAACCCCGGCCCGCCGUUGAAACUGAUGAGCUAGAGACGCGGAGAGGUAGGCGGAAUGCGCAGUGUAGCGGUGAAAUGCAUAGACAUUGCGCAGAACUCCGAUUGCGAAGGCAGCCUACUGGUCGCGGACUGACGCUGAGGCACGAAAGCGUGGGGAUCGAACAGGAUUAGAUACCCUGGUAGUCCACGCAGUAAACGAUGAAUGCCGGCUGUCUGGGAUGAUUGAGUCCUGGGCGGCGAAGCGAAAGCG
rnacentral:rRNA from 1 species